rnacentral:rRNA from 1 species
UACCCUUGACAUAGUAAGAAUCCUGCAGAGAUGCGGGAGUGCCUUCGGGAGCUUAUAUAC